rnacentral:rRNA from 1 species
GACGAACGCUGGCGGCGUGCUUAACACAUGCAAGUCGAACGGAAAGGCCCCUUUGGGGGUACUCGAGUGGCGAACGGGUGAGUAACACGUGAGUAACCUGCCCUUGACUUCGGGAUAACUUCAGGAAACUGGGGCUAAUACCGGAUAGGAAUCCUUGCUGCAUGGUGGGGGUUGGAAAGCUUCGGCGGUUUUGGAUGGACUCGCGGCUUAUCAGCUUGUUGGUGGGGUAGUGGCUUACCAAGGCUUUGACGGGUAGCCGGCCUGAGAGGGCGACCGGCCACAAUGGGACUGGGAGACGGCCCAGACUCCGACGGGGGGGAGCAGGGGGGAAGAUUGAACAAUGGGCGGAAGCCUGAUGCAGCAACGCCGCGGGCGGGAUGACGGGCUUCGGGUUGGAAACCGCAUUCAGCAGGGGCGAAGCUUGUGGUGACGGUACCUGCAGAAGAAGCACCGGCUAACUACGUG